rnacentral:rRNA from 1 species
CCUACGGGGGGCUGCAGUGGGGAAUAUUGCGCAAUGGGGGAAACCCUGACGCAGCAACGCCGCGUGGAGGAAGAAGGUCUUCGGAUUGUAAACUCCUGUCUUCUGGGACGAUAAUGACGGUACCAGAGGAGGAAGCCACGGCUAACUACGUGCCAGCAGCCGCGGUAAUACGUAGGUGGCGAGCGUUGUCCGGAAUUACUGGGCGUAAAGGGCGCGUAGGCGGUUCUUUAAGUUAGAUGUGAAAACCCAGGGCUUAACUUUGGGAGUGCAUUUAAAACUGAAGGACUCGAGUGCAGGAGAGGUAAGUGGAAUUCCUAGUGUAGCGGUGAAAUGCGUAGAUAUUAGGAGGAACACCAGUGGCGAAGGCGACUUACUGGACUGUAACUGACGCUGAGGCGCGAAAGCGUGGGGAGCAAACAGGCUUAGAUACCCCAGUAGUC